GAGGGUGCAGCUCAGUGGUAGAGCGCAUGCUUAGCAUGCACGAGGUCCUGGGUUCGAUCCCCGGUGUCUCCU
rnacentral:tRNA from 1 species